GAUGAACGCUGGCGGCGUGCCUAAUACAUGCAAGUCGAGCGAACAGAUGAGGAGCUUGCUCCUCUGACGUUAGCGGCGGACGGGUGAGUAACACGUGGAUAACCUACCUAUAAGACUGGGAUAACUUCGGGAAACCGGAGCUAAUACCAGAUAAUAUAUUGAACCGCAUGGUUCAAUAGUGAAAGACGGUUUUGCUGUCACUUAUAGAUGGAUCCGCGCCGCAUUAGCUAGUUGGUAAGGUAACGGCUUACCAAGGCAACGAUGCGUAGCCGACCUGAGAGGGUGAUCGGCCACACUGGAACUGAGACACGGUCCAGACUCCUACGGGAGGCAGCAGUGGGGAAUCUUCCGCAAUGGGCGAAAGCCUGACGGAGCAACGCCGCGUGAGUGAUGAAGGUCUUCGGAUCGUAAAACUCUGUUAUUAGGGAAGAACAAAUGUGUAAGUAACUAUGCACGUCUUGACGGUACCUAAUCAGAAAGCCACGGCUAACUACGUG
rnacentral:rRNA from 1 species